GGUAUUUUGACUAUACGAAGGUAUUGAAAUAAGAUUUUAAAUGAGUGCUAAGAGAAUGAUUAAACAAUUAAAAGCUUUCUUUAAUUGAAUAAUUGAAUUUAAUUUUUUAGUGCAAAAGCAAAAAUAAAAAUUAGGGACAAGAAGACCCUAUGAAUUUUUAUUAAAUUUUAUAAAACUUUAUAUAAAAUUUAAUUUAAUUGGGGUGAUGGAAAAAGAAUAAAUAUCUUUUUUUUAAAAAAAAAUUGGUUCCGUUUUUAGCGAUUAAAUGAAAAAAAUACUCUAGGGAUAACAGCGUAAUAAUUUUGGAUAGUUCAUAUAGAUAAAAUAGUUUGCGACCUCGAUGUUGGAUUAGGAUUCUUUUUUGGUGAAGAAGU
rnacentral:rRNA from 1 species